UUAAUUUCAGCUUAGGGCACCCAUUUGGCCAGCAGUGGCCCUGAUGAAGCAUCAUUACUGUAAUGAUUUGUUUUGGACCCGUGUUCCUCACAACUUUACAGCUGAGGUGGCCCAUGACCUUGAGGACCCCGUCCAUCCACCGGAUCCUGUCCAACGUGCGGAUGCCCGAGGGAGUCAAGUCCGGGGACAAAUUGUUAAUAAUUACUUUGCCUGAUCGCUGCGUGGGGAGGCCAGCACUGACAAGGAGCAACCACCUUUGAAAAGAAAGAAGAAAU